UCCUACGGGGGGCAGCAGUGAGGAAUAUUGGUCAAUGGCCGUAAGGCUGAACCAGCCAAGUCGCGUGAAGGAAGAAGGAUCUAUGGUUUGUAAACUUCUUUUAUAGGGGAAUAAAGGUAUCCACGUGUGGAUAUUUGCAUGUACCCUAUGAAUAAGCAUCGGCUAACUCCGUGCCAGCAGCCGCGGUAAUACGGAGGAUGCGAGCGUUAUCCGGAUUUAUUGGGUUUAAAGGGAGCGUAGGCCGCAUGUCAAGCGUGCUGUGAAAUGUCCGGGCUCAACCCGGGCCUUGCAGCGCGAACUGGCGU
rnacentral:rRNA from 1 species